CUACGGGCUGCUCCAGUGGGGAAUAUUGCACAAUGGGGGAAACCCUGAUGCAGCAACGCCGCGUGGAGGAUGACACAUUUCGGUGCGUAAACUCCUUUUAUAGGUCAAGAUAAUGACGGUAGCCUAUGAAUAAGCGCCGGCUAACUCCGUGCCAGCAGCCGCGGUAAUACGGAGGGCGCAAGCGUUACUCGGAAUCACUGGGCGUAAAGAGCGUGUAGGCGGAUUAAAAAGUCAGAAGUGAAAUCCUAUAGCUUAACUAUAGAGCUGCUUCUGAAACUCUUAAUCUAGAAUAUGGGAGAGGUAGAUGGAAUUUCUGGUGUAGGGGUAAAAUCCGUAGAGAUCAGAAGGAAUACCGAUUGCGAAGGCGAUCUACUAGAACAUUAUUGACGCUGAGACGCAAAAGCGUGGGGAGCAAACAGGAUUAGAUACCCUAGUAGUC
rnacentral:rRNA from 1 species